AGCAAGGAAUGGGAAUGGGGUGGCGAUAUCGUUCGCCCUAGACCGGGGUAAUGCUUGAACCGGAGCUGGGCAUGAGCACCGACAGGUCUGCCUUCGACAUCGUUAGAACUUCCAAGCCCGAUGACCCGAGCAUUCGUGGCCGUUAGUCCGAGUAGCCGUUGGUCCGUGUGACCGGUGUAUGCGGGCCACGCGCCAGUAGCGUCCUGCCAUAGUCAACUACCUACCUUGCGUGUGUCAGGCGGCGCCGUCAGUCCAAUCCCACCAAAUCCGUGCAGAACAGUCCUUGUUGUCAUUAUUUUAUUAACUCAUAUUGUAGGAGAACCAUGGGAGUGUCACUAUAAAUAGGGCAUAUCCAAAGGAGGGGUUGACUCCUUUUACUUUUCAAGAACACUUGCAAUAGAAGAAUCCAUAUAUACAAUCUCUCUCAUUAUUUGAUUCGGCCAAGGCCACUCGUUAUUGUUGUUAUUGCAUUCCAUCCAUCGAAUAUCAUACAUUAUACACAGACAUUUGUGUUACUAGCCAACUAUCAUCUUUAGCUGUUUUACUAAGGUGCUCUCAAAUAUUUAUUUUCUUUAUCCAACACACAUCAAUCAAGAAGAACAAAGCACGUAUCCUGUGUACCCAUUUACAAAUGAUAAGAGAAUUAUAUUUGGAAAAUUCGAAGGUUGGUAUCCAGUAUGCAUUCGUGCGCACCCUAUCUCUUGGUCCUCUUGGUCCUCUCACUGCAAUCUGGAUAUUGUCAGGUUUCGACUAAAAGGGGGUUUUGAAUCUUGUCUCUGGAAUCUUUUAUAGUUACCUCUUAGGUGGUAUGGGUUACAUCAGCUUUGCACUUAGCCAUGAAUCUUGUCUCUGGAAUCUUUUAUUGUUUCUUUCUGUGCUUGCAGCAGCCAUUGGGUUUUACAGAGCCAUGAAUUAUGCUUUUCAUGGAGCGGCCAUGUUUGUCCGUUUGUGUUGAGGUUUCUUUAGUUCAGGCUUUUAUGCGUAGCGGGAUUUUCAUUUCUUCCCCAAUCAGAUUGAUUCCUUAAUUUAAUAAGUUUUCAACUAAGAUAUUAUUUUCCACUAGUGUGUUGUAUCCUUGAUGCCAUAAAGUUUUUAGUCCAGAUGCUUAUGUUCUUGGAUGAUCCAACUGAUGAGAUCCCUGAUGGUUGUGGUUAUGGACAACUGAUAAGUACCCAAACUUAAACUCAAUUUUGGAUCUUCUCCGUUAAGUGCUCCUCUAUUUUGGUGUUCUUAGUACUUAUCUUCUCUGCUUUUGUUUAUCACGUCACUUUAUUUGGCUUGGUUGGAGGCAUGUUUAUAGACCACAUGAUGACAGUGAUAGAGGAUUAGAUUUGGAAAUUUCUAUGUUCGGUUUUUGUAAUGCCCUGCGCACCAUGUUUCUUGGCCAUUUUGGUUCUUGCACUGCAAUCUGGAUAUCGCUAGGCUCCGAGAAAAGGGUAGUGAUCUCUCCUAUGUGGCAUGGGUUUUGCCGGCUUUGCACUUAACUGUUCCCUUCUCUCUGUGCUUGCAGUCGUUGGGCUUCUGAUUUCUCUGUACACGACGGAUGUAGGUUUGUGGUUUUCAAUCCUUUGAUUGUCGCUGUUAAGAAUUUGUGUUCGGGCCGUGAGAUUAGGUUUGAGAUUCACUUUUGCUAUUUUAUUUGGUAUUGUUGCCUUUGAGAAUCAAGAGAUUGUUUGUUGCUAUCUUGUGGGUAUUCACAGCGUUUAAUCAGCCAGGUAGAACCAUAGAAUCGGAGGGUUAUAUUAGAACAUCGUUGGAAAGGUUGAGAAGGCACCUAAUAAUAGCUUUAGAAGCCAGAUUAGGAAAGUGCUGCGGAAGCCCGGGCUGGAAAGGAAGUUGCCCUUUCUGGCCCCUGGGCGAGGGACCUGGCAAAAUUGGAAGCAUUAAAUCGCUAAACAAUGCGUCUGACUCCUUCCUUUAUUCCUUUCGAAGCUGACCAAAUCAAUUUCCAAUAUCCUUCGCCCCCUUAUCUUCGAUAACUAUUGUAGACACUGUUUGGUGUUUCUGAUUUUUACAUGGUUCUCUUUGGCAGAUAAGGUGAUGCCUACUUUUGGGAAGUAGCAGUUUGUCCCUUGGAGUGAUUGGUUUGGUUUUGAUUUCUUGGUUAUCUGUUCUAUAGAUCUCACCCUACCCUCUACUUUCAAAUCUUGCUUUCUUUCAAUGGGUAGUUCACUUUGUUUCAUCUUAUUAAUUUUUUAUUUCUGCAUUUAAUAUGGGUGUAGGUUUCUGAUCGGCUCUGUUGAGAAGUUAAGCUCGGGACGAGCAAUUCAAGCGGGAGCAGUUAUGGUUUGGAAGUUCUUUUGAGUUUUUUCUUAUGCGAGAUUCAGUUCGCAAGUAGUUUUGUUUCUUUUCUGAUUUGUUGAUUAGUGGCUAUUGUUUGCAUGUCAACGUUGCCAAUUUUAGAUCAGGUUUGGGUAACAAUGAUAUAGGAGAAUAUUACAGGUACCACAGUACAAUGAUUAUAGGUACCAUAGGUACCUUCUAGUGGAUUCAUGAUUCUUCUUCUAUUUGGGGAAGGUGGGUGGUUUGUUUUCAUGGAAUUUCAACUAGUACCUUCACUCACUGCCCUUAAAAUAGCCAUUGUGGACUUCUCUCUUUUUUUUUUUUUCCGCCUUCUUGCUGUUAUUUUCUGCCAGUUUUCUUGGUCUCAACGUUCAUAUCCUUGCUUUCGUCUUCCAUAUGUGGUUUAUUUAUUUAUUUUGUUCCCAUCCUUUCCGUUUUCAUGUGUAUUAUACAGUUACGAGUUAAUUGAAAUCAUUCGAUUGAUUUUCAAUGUUAAGAAAUUGAAAGCUAGCGAGGUCCAUUCUAGAUGCAAUUCUGGGCAAUCAAGCUUGCUUUCAGGUUUUUGAGUCUCUGAAGUUUUUGUUGUGAGAUCCCUUUAUUCAAUUAGUUCUGUGUUUUUGUUUCACCUUGAUGAUUGGAGAUGAUGUUCCAGUGAUGGAUCCAGGGUUGUUCAGUAUUUCUGAUUUACGUGAGCUCCUUUUAUUUUGGAAGGUGUAGUGUCACUACUCUGUAACCUCACAAUUUCCUUUUGUUGGAUCACAAGUGUGGUCUGCUGCCAUUUCUAGGUUUUAGUUCAGAUGCUUACGUUUUUGAUUAUCCGACUGAUGAGGUCUCUUGUGGUUAUGGACAUCUGUUAUGAACUCAAAGACAAUCCUGAAUAUCUGAUAGCGCCGUGGAGUGCUCCUUUACAUUUGGGUUUCUAGCUAAACUUAUUUUCUCUGCUUCCGUUUUCUUUGGUUAUCACACCAGCUUGAUUUUGUUUGUUGGAUGAAUGUGUAGACCACACGGUGACAGAUAAAGGGGUUAGAGUUGGAAAAUUCAAACCCAAGAUGUUCGUGUGCACCCUAUUUCUUGGUCCUUUUCGGCUUGCACUGCAGUCUGGAUAUUGUCUGGUUUCAACUAAAAGGGGUUUUUGAAUCUUGUCUCUUGCAUCUUUUCUAGUGAUCACUUAGGUGGUAUGGGUUACAUCAGCUUUGCACUUAACUGUUCCCUUCUUUCCGUGCUUGCAGCAGCCAUUGGGUCUUACAGAGCCAUGAGUUAUUACAGAGCCAUGAGUUAUUCUUUUAAUGGAGCAGCCUUGUUUGUCCAUUUAUGUUGAGGUUGUUCAGGCUUUUGUGAGUACAGCAAUUUUCAUUUCUCAACUAAAUUAGUUUUUUUUCACUAGUGUCUGUUGUGUUGUUCUGCCAUUUUUAGUCCAGAUGCUUAUGUUCUUCGGCCAUCUAGCUGAUGAGGCCCCGGUGGUUGAAGGUUAUGGACACCUGAUUAAGUAACAAUAGCCUCAUAAAGUGCUCCUCUCUUUUGGUGUUCUCGCUGCUUAUUUCCGCUGCUGUUGUUAUCUUCUGUUUAUUACGCGAGCUUGAUUUUGUUUGUUGGAUGGAUGUGUGGUAACAGUUAAGAAGAUUAGAUUUGGAAAUUCCAAAGGUUGGUGUCUAGUGUGCAUUCCUGUGCACCCAGUUUCUUGCCAUUUUGGUGCUUGUACUCCAAUCUGGAUAUUUGUUAGGCUUCGACAAAAAUGGGGGUCUUCAAUCUUGUCUCUUAGUGAUUUCUGAGGUAGUAUGCAUUUUCAUCAGUUUUGCACUGAACUGUUCCCUUCUUUUUGUGCUUGCAGCCACUGGUCUUACAGAACCAUGAAUUAUUCUUUUCAUGCAGCGGCCUUGUUUGUCCAUUUGUGUUGAGGUUUCUUUUGUUCAGACUUUUAUGCGUAGCGGGAUUUUCAUUUCAUUUCUUCCGCAAUAAAGACUGAUUCCUCCUCUUUUUGUCAAAACUACUGUUGUAUGGAAGUUCUCAACUUAGAUAUUAUUUUCCACUAGUGUCUGCUGUAUCCUUGAUGCCAUAAAGUUUUUAGUCCGGAUCCUUAUGUUCUUGGAUGAUCCAACUGAUGAGAUCCCUGAUGAUGAUGAUUAUGGACACCUGAUAAGUACCCAAACUCAAACUCAAUCUUGGAUCUUAUAUUCCCUUUUAAGUGCUCCUCUACUUUGGUGUGCUUGGUACUUAUCUCCUCUGCUUUUGUUUAUCACGUCACUUGAUUUGGUUUGGUUGGUGGAGGCAUGUUUGUAGUCCACAUUGUGACAGUGAUUAGAUUUGAAAAAUUGGAAGUUCGGUUUUUGAAAUGCGCUGUGCCCCAUGUUUCUUGGCCAUUUUGGUGCUUGCACUGCAAUCUGGAUAUCACCAGGCUCCAAGAAAAGAGAGUUUUGCAAUCUUGUCUGGCAUACUGCAUAUCUAGUGAUCCCUCCUAUGUGGCAUGGGUUUUUCCGGCUUUGCACUUAACUGUUCCCUUUUUUCUGUGCUUGCAGUCGUUGGGCUUCUGAUUUCUCUGUAGAUGACAUAGUUUUGUGAUUUUCAAUCCCUUUGAUUGUCUCUGUUGAUAAUUUGAGUUCGGGCCGUGAGAUUAGGGUUUGAGAUUCACUUUUUCUAUUGGAUUUUGUGCUCUUUCCUUUGAGAAUCAAGAGAUUGUUUGUUGAUGUCUUGUGGGUGUUCGCAGCGUUUAAUCAGAGAUCUGGAUAAUUAUUGUAGAGACUGUUUGGUGUUUCAAAUUUACAUGGUUCUCUUUGGAAGAUGAGGUGAUGCCUACUUUUGUUAAGUAGCAGUUUGUCCCGUGGAGCAAUUGGUUUGGUUUUGAUUUCUUGGCUAUCUGUUCUAUAGAUCUCAUCCUACCCUCUACUUUGCAAUCUUGCUUUCCUUCAAUUGGUAAUUUACUUUGUUUCAUCUUAUUUGUUUUUGAUUUUCUGCAUUUAAUAUGGGUUGUAGGUUUCUGAUUUGCAACUCCCUGAUCGUCUCUGUUGGGAAGUUAAGCUCGGGACGAGCAAUUCAAGCUGCAGCAGUUAGGGUUUGGGAGUUCUUUUUGAGUUUUUUCUUAUGCGAGAUUCAGUUCGCAAGUAGUUUGUUUCUUUCCUGAUUUGUUUGUUAGUGACUGUUGUUUGCAUGUCAACGUUGUCAAUGUUAGAUCAGGUUUUCGUAAUAAUGAUCAUAGGAGAAUGGUUAUAGGUACUUUCCAGUGGAUUUCAUGAUUCUUCUUCUGUGAAGGUGGGUGGUGGUCUCUUUUCAUGGAAUUUCAACUAGUACCUUCACCCACUGCCCUUGAAAUGGCCAUUGAGACUUUUUUUUUGGGUGCCUUCUUGCUGUAAUCUUCUGCCAGUUAUCUUGGUCUCAAUGUUCAUAUCCUUGCUUUCCUCUUCCAUGUGUGGUUUAUUUAUUUAUUUUGUUCCCAUCCUUAUCGUUUUCAUGUGUAUUAUAUAGUUACGUGAGUUUCUAAUUGCAAUCAUUCAUUUGAUUUUCAAUGUUAAGAAGUUGAAAGCUGGCGAGGUCCAUUCUAAAUGCAAUUUUGGGGGAAUCAAAGCUUGCUUUCAGGUUUUGGAGUCUGAGGUUUUUGUUGUGAAAUUCCUCUAUGCAAUUAGUUCUGCGUUUUUGUUUCGCCUUGAUGAUUGGAGAUGCUGUUCCAGUGGUGGAUUUAGGGGUUGUUCAGUAUUUCUGAUUUACGUGAGCUCCUUUUAUUUUAGGAAGGUGUACUGUCACUCCUCUGUAACCUCACAAUUCCUUUUGUUGAAUCAGAAUACAAGUAGUUGAACUGGAAAUUUUGAUCCCUAUGCCGGACUUGGAUCUUCAGAUGAAUGAGUCCGUCAUCUAUUCUAGACCUAAGGAGGGCUCAAUCACAGAGUGGAGUGAUCAGUUUGGAUUUGAUAUCUUGACUUCCAUCUGCUAAUUUUGAUGCUAAUAUUGUUGUUUUACUCCUCGCAUCAACUUCUUUUACCUUCUUAUUUGGUCCGGUCAUCCGUGGAUUUCAUUCUUAGGUGUGGCCAUGUGGCAUCAGUUGUCAAGAAUACCUAAGUGCAAGUAGUUCUCUCAGGUUUAAGUGUCAGCAGUUCCCUGUUCUUUGGCUAUAGGUAUUGGAUACUUCGGUCUGGUCUCUCGAAGGUUCGUCAAAACUGCUGCUAUAUGGAAGUUCAACCAAGAUAGUUCUGUUCACAAGUGUGUAUAGUGUGUGCUGCUUCCAUUUUUAGUUCUAAUCGGACUGAUGAGGUCUUUUAUGGUUACUCAAGAGUCAAUUCUAGUUAUUUGAAAACACCGUAAAGUGCUCCUUUACUUUUUGUUGUCUAGCUACUUAUUAUCUUCUCUGUGCGCUUCCGUUUUCUUUUUGUUAUCACGCCAUCUUGAUUUUGUUUGUUGGAUGGCUACAGUAAUAGAGGAUUAGAUUUUGGAACUUUCAAAGGUUAUUGGUAUCUGGUAUGCAUCUCUGUGCACCCUCUUUCUUGGUCUUUUUGGUGCUUGCACUGCAAUCUGGACAUUGUUAGGCUUCGACGAAAAAGGGGGUUUUCCAAUUUCUAGUGAUUUCUUCAGUGGUAUGGGUUUUGUCAGCUUUGCACUUAACUAUUCUCUUCCUUCUGUGGUUGCGGCUGCUGGGUCUUAGAGAGCAGUGAAUUAUUCUUUUCAUGAAGCGGCCUUGUUUGUUCAUUUGUGUUGAGGUUUCCUUAGUUCAGGAUUUAUGAGUACUGAUAUUUUCAUUUAAGUUUUCUUCUUCAAUCAGACUGCUUCCCUUCGUUCUUUGUCAAAAUUGCUGCUGUAUGACAGUUCUGAACUAAAAUUGUUUUUUUUCUCCAGUAUGUGUUGUAUUAUUCUGCUGCUGCCAUUUAAGAUGCUUAUGUUAUUUGAUGGCCCAACUGAUGAUAUUCCAGAUGGUUGAUGGUGACGGACACCUGAUAUGUCUCGAACUCAGGAUAUCUUGCUAGCCCCGUAAAGUGCUCCUCUCUUAUGGUGUUCUCGCUGCAUAUCUUCUUUGUUUCCUUUUCUUUUUGUGAUCAGCCUGUUUGAUUUUGUUGCUGGAUGGAUGUGUGGUGAACAGUUGAGAGGAUUAGAUUUGGAAAUUUCGAAGGUUGGUGUCUGGUAUGCAUUCCUGUGUGCCCUGUUUCUUGUCCAUUUUUUGCUCGCACUGCAGUCUGGGUAUUAUCGAAGAAGGGGUUUUCAAUCUUGUCUGGCAUUUCUAGUGAUCUCCUACGUGGUAUGGGCUUCGCCAGCUUUGCACUUAACUGUUCCCUUCUUUCUGUGUUUCAGCUGCUGGGUCUCACAGAGCAGUGAAUUCUUCUUUUCAUGGAGCGGCCUUGUGUGUCGAUUUGUGUUGAGGUUUAUUGCUUUUAAUGAUUAUCGAGAUUUUCAAUUCCGUUUUCUUCUCUAAUUAGAGUGGUUCCCUUCUCUCUUUGUCAACACUGCUUUGCUAGUGUGUUGCAUUCUGCUGCCAUUUUUUAUUUUUGUAGUCUAGAUGCUGAUGUUCUUUGGUGGUCCAACUGAUGAGAUCCCAGAUUGUUAUGGACACAUGAUAAGUAUUCAAACUCAAUUUUGGAUCUUCUGAUGGCUCUGUAAAGUACCCCUCUGCUUUUGGUUUUCACGCCACUUAUAGUCUCCGCUUUCGUUUUCUUUUAUUAAGCUAUGCGAGUUGAUUUUGUUUGGUUGAAUGGGUGUUUGUAGGGCACAUGGUGAUAGUGAUAGAGGAUUAGAUUUGGGAAUUUUGAAGUCUGAUUUCAGUGUGCGUCUUUGUGCGCCCUGUUUCUUGGCCAUUUUGGUGUUUGCACUACAAAUGGAUACAACCAGGCAUCGAGAAAAGGGCGUAUUGCGAUCUUGUCUUGGCAUAUCUCGUGUUCUCUCUUGCGUGAGCUUUGCACUUAACUAUUCCCUUCUUUCUGGGCUUGCAGCUGUUGGGUCUUACGCCGUGAACUCUUCUUUUCGUGGAGCGGCCCUGUUUGUCGAUUUGUUUUGAAGUUUCAUUAGUGGGGCUAUCAAGAUUUUCGAUUCAGUUUUCUUCCCUAAUCUCCCUUCCCUCCACUUGCGUAUCGUGCUUCCCUUCAAUUGGUAGUUCAUUUGUUUCAUGUUAUUUGUUUUUAAUUUUCUGUAUUUAAUUUGGGGUGUAGGUUUCUGAUUUGCAUAUCUUUGAUCAUCUCUGUUGAAAAGUUAAAGCUCAGGAUGAGCGAUUCAAGCGGGAGCACUUAGGGUUUGGGUGUUCUUUCUGAUCUUUGUUUUGUCUGCGAAUAGUUCUGUUUCUUGAUCCGACUUGUUGAUUGGUGACUCUUGUUUGUGUAUGUCAACGCUGCCAAUGUUUUAUUAGGUCCGGAUACUGACGAUAGGCAUGAUUCUUCUUCUAUUUCGUGAAGGUGGGUGAUUUCUUCUCAUGGAACUGCAGCUAGUACCUUCACCCACUUCUCUUUUUCCGCCUUCUUGCUUUCCUUUCGUGUGUAGUUCAUUAAUAUAUUUUGUUCUCAUCCUUGACCUUUUUCUUGUGUAUUGUACAGUUAUGUGAGUUUCUAUUUGCAAUCUUUCUAUUGAUUUUCAAUGGUAAGGAAUUGAAAGCUGGUGUGGUUCUUUCUAGAUGCAAUUCUGGGAAUCAAGCUUUGCUUUCAGGUUUUGGAUGAUUCUGAGGUCUUUGUCUUGAGAUCCCUCUAUGCAAUUAGUUCUUUGUUUAUGUUCUCCCUUGAUGGUUGAAGAUGAUGUUGCCACGUUAGCUGUCGGUUCCAGUUAUGAAUUUCAAGUGUUACUCUGUAGUUCUGAUUUAUGUGAGCUUUUUCUUCUAUUUUGAAAAGGUGUGCUCAUCUGGCUUGCUGCCGUUUCCUUUUGUGUAUCACACCAGCUUGUUUUUAUUUGUUGGAUGGAUGUGUUCUGACAGUUAGAGCAUCGGAUUUGGACAUUUGAAGGUUGGUGUC